UACGGAGGGUGCAAGCGUUGUCCGGAUUUAUUGGGUUUAAAGGGUGCGUAGGCGGCCCGGUAAGUCAGUGGUGAAAGCCUCCAGCUCAACUGGAGAACUGCCAUUGAUACUGCCGGGCUUGAGUACAGACGAGGUUGGCGGAAUUGAUUGUGUAGCGGUGAAAUGCAUAGAUACAAUCAAGAACUCCGAUGGCGUAGGCAGCUAACUAGGCUGUAACUGACGCUGAGGCACGAAAGCGUGGGGAGCGAACAGG
rnacentral:rRNA from 1 species